CUGGAGUCUCUGUGCUUGAUUUUAUUUUGACUCACAGGAUAUCAUUCGAUGUGAGGCAGAGGAUGGGACGUGUAUUCUGAGUGGAGAAAAAGCAUCGAGGAAAACCAAGAUAAUGCAAGGGAAGAUCAAGAGCAGAGGUCUGAACAAGCAGAACAGUUUGGGAAGAGGAGCAUUUGAAACAGCCUUCUGCUCCUAGGACCACUGAGCUUCUUUGAGGUUUUGGAAGCCAAACAGAACUGAAUUUUGGAGCUCCCUUUAUCUUUGCAAUAAGCCAAAUCAGAACCCUGGAUCUUAAUUAACAUUUCUGCAUUUAGAAUUAUUUUUGUGAACACAAUAGAGCUGAUUAUUACUGAGAGCCUCUUCAAAGAAGUUAAAUUAAUCUGAUAAAUCAAUGUGGCCAGUGCAGAUAAGUCUUGUGGAGCAUUCUCAAGCUGUACCAGGAUCUGUCAGAAAGAGUAAUGAAUAUCAGAUUUCCAAAUGUACACAUUUUGGGGGGAAGGAAUAAGAUAAAUGACAU
ensembl:lncRNA